AAUCCAAUUUCAGUCGGCUCUAAUUCACGAUUCAGCCCAGAUGCGAGCGACCCGACGAGUUCACAAAAAAGGAAGUACAAUAUGUUCUUUGUAUCCUUCCCCAAACGUUCCUCUCAGACCGGUACAGUCGCAGCAGUAGCAAGCCACGCGAUUCCAUCCUUUGGCUCGAGAUUGAGCCAAGUAGCUCCGCCAAGGACAUGGAAUCGAUCCAGCCGUUUGUUCCCCCUUCCUCUUUCGGAAUGGGGUGAAAACUUCAGAAAAGGUGUCUCCCUUAAUUUAUGAAAGAAUUUAUCUGUUUUGUCUUUGUUUUUUGGGGUUGGAGAUAGCUUACAUAAAACUGAGAGAUAGAAAGGUUUUUUUUGGGGUUGGAGAUAGCUUACAUAAAACUGAGAGAUAGAAAGGUUUUUUCUUUUACUGAUAGGCAGAGAACAGAGAAGGGGUUGGUCUCUAUUUUCUUUAGAUUUUACAACAUAUAAAUAACAAACAGAGAGUAACAUACUUGGGAGGGGAAGCUCUGAGUUCCUGUCGUCUUUUCAAAAGCUCUCAUCGAAGAUCCUUCAUUGGAAUCCAUUAAUCGUUGUGGAAUCGUUUCCAGCAGCUAGAGUUCAAGUUCGCUGCCGGAUAAAGAAGUAGAGCCAGGACUCAACUGCCAGUUGCUGCAGCGCUCAUCGCAGCAGUAGAUUUGUUUACUAGAGGAAUUGAUAUUCAAGCAGUUAACGUUGUUAUCAAUUUUGAUUUUCCUAAGAACUCAGAAACGUAUUUGCACAGGGGAAAUGGAGGUGAUCAAAUUUGAAGUGGAUGAUGAAGAGUUUUUGAACUAUUGUAAAAGUUUAAAUACAUUUUUGAUUUAUUGUGUACACAUUUAGAAUAUUGAUGUAUAAGAAUGGGUAUGUACACAACACAUACUAUCUUUUGGUUGUACAUAAAAUAUUUCUCGAAGUUUAUUUGAAAUAUAUAGCUUCAAUUUAAUGAUUAAUUAGUU